rnacentral:rRNA from 1 species
CCCUAGUAGGACGUCGCGACCCGUUGGGUGUCGGCCUACGGCCCGGUUGGUCGCCUGUCGCGUCGCGUUCACGCGUGCACGCGGCAGACCACCGGUCGCCCGGCCGGCUGCCCGGCGGUAUAGAACGCAAUGAUACGGUAUUGAGCCGCACAUUUUUUUGUGCGUCCUGGCUCGUCGGCAGGCUCGCCUCGCUCGGAUUUACGGACCUAGCGCCGUUGCCGGGUGCUUGGUGUGGCUGUUAGUCGACGAUGUCCUCGGACCGGCUAUUACCGGUCGGCGACGCUACUGCUUUGGGUACUUUCAGGACCCGUCUUGAAACACGGACCAAGGAGUCUAACAUGUGCGCGAGUCAUUGGGAUUUUUUAAAACCUAAAGGCGCAAUGAAAGUGAAGGUCGACCUCGCGUCGAUCGAGGGAGGAUGGCUCGCGUCACGAUGCGAGCCCGCACUCCCGGGGCGUCUCGUGCUCAUUGCGAGCAGAGGCGCACCCAGAGCGUACACGUUGGGACCCGAAAGAUGGUGAACUAUGCCUGGUCAGGACGAAGUCAGGGGAAACCCUGAUGGAGGUCCGUAGCGAUUCUGACGUGCAAAUCGAUCGUCGGAACUGGGUAUAGGGGCGAAAGACUAAUCGAACCAUCUAGUAGCUGGUUCCCUCCGAAGUUUCCCUCAGGAUAGCUGGCACUCGCUUGAGCGAGUCUCAUCUGGUAAAGCGAAUGAUUAGAGGCCUUGGGGCCGAAACGACCUCAACCUAUUCUCAAACUUUAAAUGGGUGAGAUCUCUGGCUUGCUUGAACGUUGAAGCCACGAGAUUAUUGCAAUGGAUCAGAGUGCCAAGUGGGCCAAUUUUGGUAAGCAGAA